UGGCGGACGGGUGAGUAACGCGUAAAGAACUUGCCCUUUAGGCUGGGAUAACAGAGGGAAACUUCUGAUAAUACUGGAUAAGUUAGUAUAUCGCAUGAUAUGCAAAUGAAAGCUACGGCACUAAAGGAGAGCUUUGCGUCCUAUUAGCUAGUUGGUAAGGUAAGAGCUUACCAAGGCGAUGAUAGGUAGCCGGCCUGAGAGGGUGGACGGCCACAAGGGGACUGAGAUACGGCCCUUACUCCUACGGGAGGCAGCAGCU
rnacentral:rRNA from 1 species